UACGUAGGGGGCAAGCGUUGUCCGGAUUUAUUGGGCGUAAAGAGCGUGUAGGCGGUCAGGUAGGUCCGUUGUGAAAACUCGAGGCUCAACCUCGAGACGCCGAUGGAAACCAUCUGACUAGAGUCCGGAAGAGGAGACUGGAAUUCCUGGUGUAGCGGUGAAAUGCGCAGAUAUCAGGAGGAACACCGGUGGCGAAGGCGGGUCUCUGGGCCGAUGACUGACGCUGGAGGAGCGAAAGCAUGGGGAGCGAACAGGA
rnacentral:rRNA from 1 species